GCGACCGGCGCACGGGUGAGUAACACGUAUCCAACCUGCCCUUUACUCGGGGAUAGCCUUUCGAAAGAAAGAUUAAUACCCGAUAGCAUAAUGAUUCCGCAUGGUUUCAUUAUUAAAGGAUUCCGGUAAAGGAUGGGGAUGCGUUCCAUUAGGUUGUUGGUGAGGUAACGGCUCACCAAGCCUUCGAUGGAUAGGGGUUCUGAGAGGAAGGUCCCCCACAUUGGAACUGAGACACGGUCCAAACUCCUACGGGAGGCAGCAGUGAGGAAUAUUGGUCAAUGGGCGUUAGCCUGAACCAGCCAAGUAGCGUGAAGGAUGAAGGCUCUAUGGGUCGUAAACUUCUUUUAUAUAAGAAUAAAGUGCAGUAUGUAUACUGUUUUGUAUGUAUUAUAUGAAUAAGGAUCGGCUAACUCCGUGCCAGCAGCCGCGGUAAUACGGAGGAUCCGAGCGUUAUCCGGAUUUAUUGGGUUUAAAGGGAGCGUAGGUGGACUGGUAAGUCAGUUGUGAAAGUUUGCGGCUCAACCGUAAAAUUGCAGUUGAUACUGUCAGUCUUGAGUACAGUAGAGGUGGGCGGAAUUCGUGGUGUAGCGGUGAAAUGCUUAGAUAUCACGAA
rnacentral:rRNA from 1 species